GAAAUGCGAUACGUAGUGUGAAUUGCAGAAUUCAGUGAAUCAUCGAAUCUUUGAACGCACAUUGCGCCCUUUGGUAUUCCAAAGGGCAUGCCUGUUCGAGCGUCAUUUGUACCCUCAAGCUUUGCUUGGUGUUGGGCGUCUUGUCUCCAGUUCGCUGGAGACUCGCCUUAAAGUCAUUGGCAGCCGGCCUACUGGUUUCGGAGCGCAGCACAAGUCGCGCUCUCAUCCAGCCAAGGUCAGCGUCCAGUAAGCCUUUUUUUCAACUUUUGACCUCGGAUCAGGUAGGGAUACCCGCUGAACUUAA
rnacentral:misc_RNA from 1 species